rnacentral:tRNA from 1 species
CGGGGCAUAGCGCAGUCUGGCUAGCGCGUCUGCUUUGGGAGCAGAAGGUCCUCAGUUCGAAUCUGAGUGUCCCGA